rnacentral:piRNA from 1 species
UAGGUUUGUGGGUGCAAGCAUGGGUUUCC